CACAUUUGUCCGGGGUCGGGGGCAAAGACACUGCCCAGAUGGGCCCACGGGGGCGUUUCAACUGAACUGUGCUGUUUGGGCCAAGAAUCCACCCACGUGCCUUGGGGGCCUGGGGUUAAAUCUCUGCUGCCCAAGAUAAUUGGUUGUGAUGCCUAGAACUGUGGCAGCAUCUUGAAAGAGUGUGGGGAUGACAUUUGACACAAUGAGGGUAAUAGAGAAGAGAAAUGAAAAGAACCUGGGUCCUUGAUGAUGUCACUGAGCCACUGAAUCAACAAAACCCAGGGCUGCUCUUCCUUUGGAUUUUUAGCUCAACUUUUUUUUAUUUGCAGUCAAAAGCACCCCAGUGGAUAGAGAGAGACUAAGAGUAGCUCAGUCCAAACUGGCAUCAAAUGACAAGGAUUGGAAUCUCAGCUAUAUCAUCAACUAGCUUUGUUACUUUGGGCAAGUCACUUUCUCUACAAGAACCUUAUUCCUUGUAAAAAUGGAGAUAAUAAAAUAACUAUGUCAUUAGGUAUUAAACAGCUCUAAUAAAAACUGUGAAAACACCUGAAAA